AGCCUCUUUACAGUGCUGCCUUGCUCUACUCAUGUUCAAGCAGCAUUGUACAGGGCUAUGA
rnacentral:pre_miRNA from 1 species